ensembl:lncRNA
AAACAACACACGUUUCUUAACCAGCAUGAAGAGGGCAUAUGACUUCAUAAUCAAACUGGAUGAUGUGCCCCAGCCCCAGCCCCAGCAAGACCAGCCCCUCCACCUAGACCAACCCCUACCCCAAGACCAGCCCCUGCCCCUAGACCAGCUAAUCCCACAAGACCAGCCCCCCAGACCAGCCUCUGCCCCUAGACCAGCCCCAGAAAGACCAGCCCCUGCCCCUAGACCAGCUAAUCCCACAAGACCAGCCCCUAGACCAGCCCCAGAAAGACCAGCCCCUGUCCCUAGACCAGCUAAUCCCACAAGACCAGCC